CGGGGUGAGUAACGCGUGGGUAACCUGCCUUGUACUGGGGGACAACAGUUGGAAACGACUGCUAAUACCGCAUAAGCGCACAGCUUCGCAUGAAGCAGUGUGAAAAACUCCGGUGGUACAAGAUGGACCCGCGUCUGAUUAGCUGGUUGGUGAGGUAACGGCCCACCAAGGCGACGAUCAGUAGCCGGCCUGAGAGGGUGAACGGCCACAUUGGGACUGAGACACGGCCCAA
rnacentral:rRNA from 1 species